UCUCCGUUGGUGAACCAGCGGAGGGAUCAUUACUGGAAUCGCAAGAUCCCACAACCCCUGUGAACCUACCGAAACGUUGCCUCGGCGGGCGCCCGGCCCUGCGCCCGGCGCUGAGCCCGCCGGCGGCCCCCUACUCUUGUCUCUGCAGCGUGGCAUCUCACAGUCCCAGAAAACAAGUAAAAACUUUCAACAACGGAUCUCUUGGCUCUA
rnacentral:misc_RNA from 1 species